rnacentral:rRNA from 1 species
UGACUGCGUACCUUUUGUAUAAUGGGUCAGCGACUUAUAUUCUGUAGCAAGGUUAACCGAAUAGGGGAGCCGAAGGGAAACCGAGUCUUAACCGGGCGUUAAGUUGCAGGGUAUAGACCCGAAACCCGGUGAUCUAGCCAUGGGCAGGUUGAAGGUUGGGUAACACUAACUGGAGGACCGAACCGACUAAUGUUGAAAAAUUAGCGGAUGACUUGUGGCUGGGGGUGAAAGGCCAAUCAAACCGGGAGAUAGCUGGUUCUCCCCGAAAGCUAUUUAGGUAGCGCCUCGUGAAUUCAUCUCCGGGGGUAGAGCACUGUUUCGGCAAGGGGGUCAUCCCGACUUACCAACCCGAUGCAAACUGCGAAUACCGGAGAAUGUUAUCACGGGAGACACACGGCGGGUGCUAACGUCCGUCGUGAAGAGGGAAACAACCCAGACCGCCAGCUAAGGUCCCAAAGUCAUGGUUAAGUGGGAAACGAUGUGGGAAGGCCCAGACAGCCAGGAUGUUGGCUUAGAAGCAGCCAUCAUUUAAAGAAAGCGUAAUAGCUCACUGGUCGAGUCGGCCUGCGCGGAAGAUGUAACGGGGCUAAACCAUGCACCGAAGCUGCGGCAGCGACACUGUGUGUUGUUGGGUAGGGGAGCGUUCUGUAAGCCUGUGAAGGUGUGCUGUGAGGCAUGCUGGAGGUAUCAGAAGUGCGAAUGCUGACAUAAGUAACGAUAAAGCGGGUGAAAAGCCCGCUCGCCGGAAGACCAAGGGUUCCUGUCCAACGUUAAUCGGGGCAGGGUGAGUCGACCCCUAAGGCGAGGCCGAAAGGCGUAGUCGAUGGGAAACAGGUUAAUAUUCCUGUACUUGGUGUUACUGCGAAGGGGGGACGGAGAAGGCUAUGUUGGCCGGGCGACGGUUGUCCCGGUUUAAGCGUGUAGGCUGGUUUUCCAGGCAAAUCCGGAAAAUCAAGGCUGAGGCGUGAUGACGAGGCACUACGGUGCUGAAGCAACAAAUGCCCUGCUUCCAGGAAAAGCCUCUAAGCAUCAGGUAACAUCAAAUCGUACCCCAAACCGACACAGGUGGUCAGGUAGAGAAUACCAAGGCGCUUGAGAGAACUCGGGUGAAGGAACUAGGCAAAAUGGUGCCGUAACUUCGGGAGAAGGCACGCUGAUAUGUAGGUGAAGUCCCUCGCGGAUGGAGCUGAAAUCAGUCGAAGAUACCAGCUGGCUGCAACUGUUUAUUAAAAACACAGCACUGUGCAAACACGAAAGUGGACGUAUACGGUGUGACGCCUGCCCGGUGCCGGAAGGUUAAUUGAUGGGGUCAGCGCAAGCGAAGCUCUUGAUCGAAGCCCCGGUAAACGGCGGCCGUAACUAUAACGGUCCUAAGGUAGCGAAAUUCCUUGUCGGGUAAGUUCCGACCUGCACGAAUGGCGUAAUGAUGGCCAGGCUGUCUCCACCCGAGACUCAGUGAAAUUGAACUCGCUGUGAAGAUGCAGUGUACCCGCGGCAAGACGGAAAGACCCCGUGAACCUUUACUAUGCUUGACACUGAACAUUGAGCCUUGAUGUGUAGGAUAGGUGGGAGGCUUUGAAGUGUGGACGCCAGUCUGCAUGGAGCCGACCUUGAAAUACCACCCUUUAAUGUUUGAUGUUCUAACGUGGACCCGUGAUCCGGGUUGCGGACAGUGUCUGGUGGGUAGUUUGACUGGGGCGGUCUCCUCCUAAAGAGUAACGGAGGAGCACGAAGGUUGGCUAAUCCUGGUCGGACAUCAGGAGGUUAGUGCAAUGGCAUAAGCCAGCUUGACUGCGAGCGUGACGGCGCGAGCAGGUGCGAAAGCAGGUCAUAGUGAUCCGGUGGUUCUGAAUGGAAGGGCCAUCGCUCAACGGAUAAAAGGUACUCCGGGGAUAACAGGCUGAUACCGCCCAAGAGUUCAUAUCGACGGCGGUGUUUGGCACCUCGAUGUCGGCUCAUCACAUCCUGGGGCUGAAGUAGGUCCCAAGGGUAUGGCUGUUCGCCAUUUAAAGUGGUACGCGAGCUGGGUUUAGAACGUCGUGAGACAGUUCGGUCCCUAUCUGCCGUGGGCGCUGGAGAACUGAGGGGGGCUGCUCCUAGUACGAGAGGACCGGAGUGGACGCAUCACUGGUGUUCGGGUUGUCAUGCCAAUGGCACUGCCCGGUAGCUAAAUGCGGAAGAGAUAAGUGCUGAAAGCAUCUAAGCACGAAACUUGCCCCGAGAUGAGUUCUCCCUGACCCUUUAAGGGUCCUGAAGGAACGUUGAAGACGACGACGUUGAUAGGCCGGGUGUGUAAGCGCAGCGAUGCGUUGAGCUAACCGGUACUAAUGAACCGUGAGGCUUAACCU